AGUUGAUUUGAUGAAAGAAAAAAACUUGAAGAAAAUCUCUGCUCUCUCUCUCUCUCUCUCUCUCUCUCUCUCUUAUGCAGAGGAUUUAUGGAUUCGGUGCUUGUUUACUAGCUGGAGUUGUUUGUGUGUUCUUUUCUUGAUAUGUUCCCUGGGGUUCUGAUGAGAAAAAUAUUUGGCACUUGGAACUACAGCUUUCCUCGUUGUUGAUGAUGUUCGCAUCUAUGCUACUGCAGUCUACGGUGGAUGUGUGAUCGUAGCUCUUGUUUGCGCUCUUUUGGCAGAAUCAAAAUGCUCUAAAGAUAUGCAUGAAUCUGAAAGUCUUUUAGGUCACUGUUUCAGCAAAAAUUAACCAAACAUAACCUAAUGUUUUGGUAGCAAUGCAAGAAGUUUACAUCUUUUUGUACUGUCUCAUAAUUCACAUAUAUACCACUUUCUCUAACUUUCCUCGCCCGGGUAUGUUUGUUAAAGCCUAUUUGGUUCCACACCACGAAGUUGAGUAGCUUCAACUGAUUGAUACUAUUUCUUAUUACAACUUCCUUCAGCUCAUUAUAUUUUAGUGCCAAUUCCAAGAUUCAUGCAAAUUGAGGAUUGUAUCUUUCCUUUUAUACCUAUCAGCUGCAGGAGACAACAGCAAAGUUGUGUUAUUAAGUCCAAUUACUUUGUUCGAGUGGCAAAAUUUAUAGACUGAGAUUUAUUGGCAACAAACGACUGUGAGUGGUAUAGCAUAUGGAACUUCCUGGGAAUUAUCAUGAUCGACGAUAGAGCCUACUUUACUUAUUAUUUCGACCAUUUGGGGCGUUUCAGAUGACUAAAUGUGGCCACCGUCUUCCUUGCUGCCUUCACAAAUUUGAAGCAUCCUCAUUUGGCUGGCCUUGGCCAUCAUGGCAAUACUCCAUUUUACUUAUUGUUUUUCCAGCAGAUAACAUCAACCGUGUCGCAAGUUUGUCGCGGGAGACUAAUGCUUUCAUGAUUUUAUAGGUCCCCUGGCUUCAUCUGGUUUCUCGAGUACUACAAUCAUGUUUAUCUGCAGCCUCAUAUCAAGCUUCUUUGAUGGGAGUUUCUUUAGUGACAUUGUUGUUAAAGUUGGUUCUUCAUAUGGUGGGUUGUUGGUGAUGUGCUAUGAAAAUUUACAAGGAAAAUGAGUUGGAUAUGUUAAUGUAUAAAAGUAUGGUGUUGGUUGGUCUCCAAUCUGGAUCAGCCUCAACCACUAUAGAAUUUGUAAACUUUACAUCAUAACUACCUUCUCUACAAAAGUGUGGAAAAACUCACAUGUGAAUAAACUUCAUAAAGAAAAACAAUUGACAAGUCUUUGUUAUUA